CCUACGGGAGGCAGCAGUGGGGGAUAUUGCACAAUGGGGGAAACCCUGAUGCAGCGACGCCGCGUGGGUGAAGAAGUAUUUCGGUAUGUAAAGCCCUAUCAGCAGGGAAGAAAGAAGACGGUACCUGACUAAGAAGCCCCGGCUAACUACGUGCCAGCAGCCGCGGUAAUACGUAGGGGGCGAGCGUUAUCCGGAUUCACUGGGUGUAAAGGGAGCGUAGACGGCCGUGCAAGCCAGGAGUGAAAGCCCGGGGCCCAACCCCGGGACUGCUCUUGGAACUGUGCGGCUGGAGUGCGGGAGGGGCAGGCGGAAUGCCUGGUGUAGCUGUGAAAUGCGUAGAUAUCAGGAGGAACACCGGCGGCGAAGGCGGCCUGCUGGACCGCGACUGACGUUGAGGCUCGAAAGCGUGGGGAGCGAACAGGAUUAGAUACCCUUGUAGUC
rnacentral:rRNA from 1 species